rnacentral:lncRNA from 1 species
GGGGCAGCGGAGCUUCUCUUAAAAAGAUGAAAAUUGAGAAUUGUCUUAAAUUGAGGAAAUUACCCUAUGACCUUGGUAGCCUCCAGUCUCUUGAGACAUUGGAAAUAGAAUCAUGUGGAAAUCUGAAAUCAAUUUCAUAUCAAAGUGGACAAAAAGGCCUCCUUUCCCUUCAGAAGUUGGAAAUUCGUAAUUGCCAUGAGUUGAGCAACCUGCCAAAUGAAAUGCUAGAGUAUUGUACGUCUCUACGGACUUUAUGUGUGGAACACUGCCAUAAUCUCACUUCACUUCCUGAAAUGAGUGGGAUGGGUUCUCUACAGUCUCUAGUUGUGGGUGGAUGUAAAAAUAUCACUUCAUUUCCUGAAAUGAGUGGGAUGAAAUCUCUACAGGAACUAUGUUUAAAGUCAUGCACUUCCUUUCCAGAAUUGAGUAGGAUGGGAUGCCUUAACAGCUUAAUUGAAUUGUCCAUUGGGUUCUUCCCAAAUUCAAUGGAAUUACAUUCAUUUCAAUCUUUUAUCAACGGCAUCAAACGCAUGAAAUCCCUUGAAAGAGUAGUCUUAUAUGGUUCGGGAGAUUGGGUCUCUCAACUAGAUCAGCUUCAACAUCUCAGUUCCCUAAAAGAAUUGUUAAUAUAUGAAUUUGAAAUGGAAGCCUUGCCUGAUUGGAUUGGAAAUUUGUCAUCUCUUGAAAGUCUAGGAGUACGGUACUGUGGAGAGCUUAAGUACCUGCCCUCUAAAGAAGUUAUGCAACGGCUCACCAAAUUAGAACUAUUAAAUAUUUGGUUUUGUCCGAUAUUGGAGGAGAGAUGCAGGGUAAAAAGCGGUCCUGAUUCUGAGUGGCCAAAAAUUUCUCAUAUUCCCCAUCUGAUAAUAAAAGAUCUGUGAAGUUUGGUGUUCCUGUAAGUAUAUUUAAAGUUUGAAUAUUGACUUUAUUGUUUAUUAAUUUUGGUUAGUGUAUGUUCUAAAUAUUGCUACAGGGUGGUUUUAAUUGAUUUCUGUUACUAAUAGAUAAAAAGAGUUUGCAUGAGGUUGUCCUUUAAUUUUGUCAAAUAACAAAGAUUUCUCGAUUAAAUGUUUACCAAAGUAUUCAGUUAAAUGACUUUAUUUUUCAAUUAAUUAUAUUAUCCUUUCUUAAGUUAGCUAGUGUGCUAAAAUAGUUAUAGUUAUGAAUUGCUUCGAGUGCCUUAUGGAAUUUGUAUAAAUUUUAUUAGGUUGUGAUGAAGAAGAGCAUCCACCCUCAACAACUUGAUACUCAUUUAUUGUCCUAUCAAUUCCUAAUUCUAUUUGGAUCUUCGUCAACUUUACUAUUGUAAGUUUUCUUAUCAUUACAUAAAUAUUAGAACGAUUUGAACUAUCUUCGGAGUAUUAAAAAAAAAAAAAAGAAUGGUAAGAUUUAACUUCAACUUAAUUAUUUCAGGUAUUAGAUUUGUCACAUGUUCAAGAUGAAAGUAUAGAUGAGGAUUUCAGAUAUUAUUGACAUUGGUCUUUCUGUAAGUAUAUUUCAGCUUUGAAUGUUAACUUAUUUUACAUUUAUUUUGUUUAAUUACAAUUUGAAUUGAUACUCAUUCAUUCCCCUAUCGAGUCUUAAUUCUAUUCGAAUCUUGUUCAACUUUACUCUCAUAAGAAUUAUAUUAUUAUCAUAACAAAAACAUUAUCAUUAUUUGAACUAUCAUUAAUUAAUAUCUUGGAGCAUACAGAGGAGGUGAAAGUAAGCUAUUUCCUUUGCAACUUGGAGGGUUUGAUUUGUCCAAUCUAGAAAGAGGGUGAAAUUAUCUUUAAACUCUGAGUAUAUUAUAAAUUAAUUACAGGAAAAAUCAACUUCAAUAAUUGUAGCAAUACAAACUAAUUUAUUUAUUUUCUCGUGAAAUUUUACAGGUGCAAUGUGUAUCAAUUUGUCCAGUAUUAGAGAUAAUGUAUAUGACUUGCAUUUCACAUUCACUGGAAACUGAGCCAGAUGAAACCUCAACCCAGCAAGGAAACUCUUGAAGUUGCAAAUUAUUUAUAUUUCCAGCUUGUGAAAAUAGUUAGUAAGACAAUUAUGUUUUUAUAUCAUCGUACUUGAUAUUUAGUAAAACAAUUCUGUUUUUAUCUCAUAGUACUUGAUUUUUGAAAAUGUUCAGUGCCGU